AUAAGGCAGCUCCUGGGAGUUCCCAACAGCUGGGAUGCACCUGCUGCCUUGACACCCCUUCCCCACUGCAGACUGCUGCAGCCCCUCCUCUCCAGUCUGUCUAGGAGGGCUCCUGACCACAUCUUCUUCAUCCAAGUGGUGAACUCCGAUAGCCAUCGACAGUUAAGAGCUGACCAGCUGCCAAGUGAUUUACUGCCUUAAUUGACUUGAUCCUCACCCAUGCAGACUGGACAAGACUGGCAGAAGACAGCUGAGUGUAAAACAGAGUGGCAGUCAACUGAAAUACAUGCUUCUGGAGGUGGAGUUCCAUCAGAAGUGAAGGAGGCAAGAAACCACAUUCAUCUAAAGCAAGAAGAAAGUUGGACUGAGGCCAGAUAGAACGGGGAGGUACACAACAGGAUUGUUGAUGGUGUUUGUGUCUGUAUCACCAUUAAUUACUCAUCAGCCUAAGCCAUGGAAGCAAAUGUUCUUGCGUCUUCUCCAUGCCCUACUUGUGGGAGGUCUCUGCCCUCUACCCACUUUUCUCAUUCUCCACCUCUUUAUCACCCACUGUCACCCCUUUAUCAAGGUAGAAAAUGUGGGCACACCACUACGUUUUCAGCAUAGUUUUAAUAA